AUUGAACGCUGGCGGCAAGCUUAACACAUGCAAGUCGAGCGGUAACAGAGAGAAGCUUGCUUCUCUGCUGACGAGCGGCGGACGGGUGAGUAAUGCCUAGGAAUCUGCCUAGUAGUGGGGGAUAACUUGCCGAAAGGUAAGCUAAUACCGCAUACGUCCUACGGGAGAAAGGAGGGGACCUUCGGGCCUUUCGCUAUUAGAUGAGCCUAGGUCGGAUUAGUUAGUUGGUGAGGUAAUGGCUCACCAAGACCGCGAUCCGUAACUGGGCUGAGAGGAUGAUCAGUCACACUGGAACUGAGACACGGUCCAGACUCCUACGGGAGGCAGCAGUGGGGAAUAUUGGACAAUGGGGGGAACCCUGAUCCAGCCAUGCCGCGUGUGUGAAGAAGGUCUUAGGAUUGUAAAGCACUUUAAGUUGGGAGGAAGAGCAGUUAACUAAUAUUUGACUGUUUUGACGUUACCGACAGAAUAAGCACCGGCUAACUUCGUGCCAGCAGCCGCAGUAA
rnacentral:rRNA from 1 species